UCUAGAUGGAUGGAGCCGCCAAGAGCAGCACGACCGGCAUCCACACGGACAACACGACCGCAAAAAAUCACACAGGCAAAAGCAGCAUCCACACACACGAAACCGCAACCGCAACCACAGACAAGACCGAGGACUUUGAGAUCAAAACGAGCAAUACAACGGGCAUGAUCACCAUUUCCACGCGCAAAACCACCCUCUCCAGGGGUAAGAUGUCCAUCAGCAUGGGCAAAACCACCGUUUCCAGGGGCAAGACUAUGAUCACUGUGCACAAAAACAGUUUCACCAGGGGCAAGAAUUCUAUAGCACUGGACAAUAUCAUCAUUGUUAGGGGGCAGAAGGACAUCUUUAUUGAGAAGAUUACCAUCACUAGGGGCAAAGAAACACAAUGUCAUCUGUACUGGGAAUACAAUUUGUGAUCUACCAGUAGGCCUGAAAGGUUUGGAUCCUUUACUUUGAUCACAGAGGAAUAUACCAAGCAACAGGUCAAAUGGAAUCUAUCCCUAGCGUUUCAUUGGCUGCCUUUCAGUGUUCAACCAAUGCAUCUGCAGAGGUGAAGAAGAUGAGCCCACUGCCCCACAGAAGGACGUCUCCGCCCCGGCCCCAGGACUGGUUCUGUUGUUUAAUUCCAAGUCUGCCGUUCCCAGAAUUGUAUAAUAAAUAUCUGUUUCUAUGUAACCAAGCAAACUAUUAGCUCGUCAGGUUGAUCUUCUACUAGAAUCUGUAGGUCAUAUAGGGGGAAUAUAUUGUAUUUUGGGAUUUGCAAAGGUAGAGGGUCCAGGUUUGCAUAAGCGAGUGUAACAAAUUAAUAAUAAUUAGCACUAGCUAAUUGGAUUUAUUAACCUCCAGCUCAAAGCUUCUAAUCACUUUUCAUGCCUUCAGUUUGAGACCACUGGGAACCUUCAUAUUCUGGGCUCUCGGAAACAUUUGUAUUUUUGAUUUAUCCUGAAUGCAUUAAAGCUUUUCAUUUGA